rnacentral:rRNA from 1 species
GAUGAACGCUGGCGGCGUGCCUAAUACAUGCAAGUCGAGCGAACAGACGAGGAGCUUGCUCCUCUGACGUUAGCGGCGGACGGGUGAGUAACACGUGGAUAACCUACCUAUAAGACUGGGAUAACUUCGGGAAACCGGAGCUAAUACCGGAUAAUAUAUUGAACCGCAUGGUUCAAUAGUGAAAGACGGUUUUGCUGUCACUUCUAGAUGGAUCCGCGCCGCAUUAGCUAGUUGGUAAGGUAACGGCCUACCAAGGCAACGAUGCGUAGCCGAGCUGAGAAGGUGAUCGGCCACACUGGAACUGAGACACGGUCCAGACUCCUACGGGAGGCAGCAGUAGGGAAUCGUCCGCAAUGGGCGAAAGCUUGACGGAGCAACGCCGCGUGAGUGAUGAAGGUCUUCGGAUCGUAAAACUCUGUUAUUAGGGAAGAACAAAUGUGUAAGUAACUAUGCACGUCUUGACGGUACCUAAUCAGAAAGCCACGGCUAACUACGUG